CUUUAAAAAAAUGCCUUUAACAAAAUACCUUCUAUUAAGAGACAUGUUGUAGUGUUUUGGGAAAACAAGUGAUCUUACAUUUUGUUUGUGCACGUGAAAUUAUGGAUUUUAGUUCAUUUGGUUGAGACUUGAGCCGAUAAGUCAUUGUAUAGGUAAUAUUUGAUUCUUGUCACACUACUACAGAAUAGGCCUUUGGACGAUUGUCAAAAACGCCAAUUGUCUCAGCAAUUUUGGGACCCGAGACUAUAGAGCUCUUUAGUCCCAGUCCGUAACACGGGCCAGGACUAAUGGGUCCUGCCCAACGGCUAAGCUGUCGGAGCAAGGACCCUUUAGUCCCGGCUCGCGUUGUUACGCGCCGGGACUAAAGGCGUAUUUAGUCCCGGUUGAUGCCACCAGCUGGGACUAAGAGGGUGUUUGGGACUGCUCUGCUCCACGUUUUUUAGCUCCGCUUCACGUUUUUUAGCCAAACGGUUUCACCUCCACGCACUCAGUUCAAGGAAAAAGAGUGAAGUUGUGAGAGAACCUCAAGAAGUACGUACUCCAUAAACUCCAGUUUUUUGUAGAGCUGCUCCAUAGUGGAGUUUGUGGAGCAGUCCCAAACACCCCCCUAAAGCUUUAGCACCAGUUGGUGGCUUGCUCUGGGACUAAAAGGGCCUCUUUUAGUCUCCGUUUUACUUCCAGCCGGGACUAAAGGUGUACGGGUUAUAUCUUUCUCUCUUCUUCCUCCUUGAGAGACCGAGCCCAUUCAAAAUUCAGUGAGUUUGUUCUCUCUCUUCUUGCUUACCAUUGCUUGUUCUUGCUUUGUUCUUGCUUGUUCUUCAUCUCCGGCGCCCAUUGGUGAUUUUCUUUGACGCCAUCAUCGUUUCUUCGGGUCUAAGGUUUGAAUCGACAUCGCCGGCGCCCAUUGGUGAUCUUAUUUGACUCCGCCAUCGACUUUUCGUGUUUAGAGAUGACAACCGUGACCGGGUCCUCGGCGAGUGUAAGCAGAAGAUUGUGAAGGAGUAUCGAGUGAAAAAAGAGGGAAGCAACAAGGGUCGUAUAUUCUACAAGUGUCCGGAUCGCGAGUGGGACGACAUCAACGAAUGUGCAGGUUGGUACUAGGAGGAAGAGUACAUUCAGCACGUAUGGAAUUCUGCUGCACAGGAGGUUGCCGCUGAAGGUGACGAGGCAGUGAGCCAGCAAAAGAAGCGCAUUGAUGUUGAUCCUCCAGCGAAUGAUCUGUCUGUUUUAGUUGGGAUAGAAUGAGAACUAAUUAUGUUGCUUAAGUACAUUUUAGUUUUAGUUUUUUAUUACUAGCUGUGAUUGUAUUUGUUAUAGUCAGGCUUGAUUGAAUUAAUCAAUCAUGUGAUAUCAUGCGUGUCAUGCAAUAACAUGAGGAACUAAGUGCAUGGUUGUAAUACUUAAUGCAGAUGUCGUCACGCAAUUGGAUGUAUAAUGC